rnacentral:rRNA from 1 species
GAUGAACGCUGGCGGCGUGCUUAACACAUGCAAGUCGAACGGAAAGGCCCAAGCUUGCUUGGGUACUCGAGUGGCGAACGGGUGAGUAACACGUGGGUGAUCUGCCCUGCACUUCGGGAUAAGCCUGGGAAACUGGGUCUAAUACCGGAUAGGACGAUGGUUUGGAUGCCAUUGUGGAAAGUUUUUUCGGUGUGGGAUGAGCUCGCGGCCUAUCAGCUUGUUGGGGGGGUAAUGGCCUACCAAGGCGUUGACGGGUGGCCGGCCUGAGAGGGUGUACGGCCACAUUGGGACUGAGAUACAGCCCAGACUCCUACGGGAGGCAGCAGUGGGGAAUAUUGCACAAUGGGCGCAAGCCUGAUGCAGCGACGCCGCGUGGGGGAUGACGGCCUUCGGGUUGUAAACUCCUUUCGCUAGGGACGAAGCGUUUUUGUGACGGUACCUGGAGAAGAAGCACCGGCUAACUACGUG